GAUGAAGAACGUAGCGAAAUGCGAUACGUAAUGUGAAUUGCAGAAUUCAGUGAAUCAUCGAGUCUUUGAACGCACAUUGCGCCCCCUGGUAUUCCGGGGGGCAUGCCUGUCCGAGCGUCAUUGCUGCCCUCAAGCACGGCUUGUGUGUUGGGCCUCCGUCCUCCUCCCGGGGGACGGGCCCGAAUGGCAGCGGCGGCACCGCGUCCGGUCCUCGAGCGUAUGGGGCUUCGUCACCCGCUCUUGUAGGCCCGGCCGGCGCUUGCCGACACAUCAAUCUUUUUUCCAGGUUGACCUCGGAUCAGGUAGGGAUACCCGCUGAACUUAAGCAUAUCAAUAAGCGGAGGA
rnacentral:misc_RNA from 1 species